rnacentral:rRNA from 1 species
GACGAACGUUGGCGGCGUGCUUAAUACAUGCAAGUCCACUGAAGCAGUGGUAGCAAUAUCGCUGUGGAGGUGGCGCACGGGUGAGUAACACGUAGGUAAUCUGCCUUCAGGUCUGGCAUAACUCCGGGAAACCGGGGCUAAUAGCAGAUGAUGCAGCGGCUCGACAUCGAGACAGUUGUUAAAGCUAUGGCGCCUGAAGAUGAGCCUGCGUCUGAUUAGCUAGUUGGCGGGGUAACGGCCCACCAAGGCAACGAUCAGUAGCUGGUCUGAGAGGAUGAUCAGCCACACUGGAACUGAGACACGGUCCAGACUCCUACGGGAGGCAGCAGUAAGGAAUAUUGCUCAAUGGGAGAAAUCCUGAAGCAGCAACGCAGCGUGAGGGACGAAGGGCGUUUGCUUGUAAACCUCUGUAGUGAGAGAAAAAAAUCCCAAUCUUUGGGACAUGAUGGUAUCUCAAAAGUAAGCCCCGGCUAACUACGUG